AUGUACCACGCGUCCACUGCGGUUCUGAGCACGCCGUCCGCGCCCGCCUUGCGGCUCGCUACGUUUUGUUAGCU
rfam:Xanthomonas oryzae pv. oryzae KACC10331, complete genome.